rnacentral:snoRNA from 1 species
CCUGCUGUCAGUGAACUGGUACAGAUGGUUGACGAGCAGUUAAUGCUGAGCAAG